rnacentral:rRNA from 1 species
GACAGAGGGUGCGAACGUUGUUCGGAAUUACUGGGCGUAAAGCGCGUGUAGGCGGCUCGAAAAGUCGGAUGUGAAAGCCCUGGGCUUAACCUAGGAAGUGCAUUCGAAACUGCCGAGCUUGAGUUCUGGAGAGGAAGGCGGAAUUCUCGGUGUAGAGGUGAAAUUCGUAGAUAUCGAGAGGAACACCGGUGGCGAAGGCGGCCUUCUGGACAGUGACUGACGCUGAGACGCGAAAGCGUGGGGAGCAAACAGG